rnacentral:rRNA from 1 species
UCUUUCGAGCGUCUUUAAAUGAGCUUGAAAUUUUCUCAAUCGAUAGCCUUUAUGGCUUAUCUCGAUCGAAAAUUUCAUUGCAACAUUUAAAUCCAUCUCGAAAUACUUCGCUUAAUCCGUUUUUUUAGAUUUGAUUAUUGGAUUAAAUUUUAAAAUUUUAAAGACAGAUUAAACGUAAAAUAUGACAAGUUUAAAAAGAGUAUGAAUACUCAUAGACACUGU